UGUAUAAAACUGAAGGAAAAAAAGUUUCACAGUAAGAUCUCAAGUAGCCUCAAAGCUUUGGCUUCACACACAAAAUACAGUCAUACCAACCAUUUUUAUUCACUCAAAUACUGUGAAUUAUGUAACUUCCAUACAAUAUAGUAUUGUUGAAGGAAAAUAAAAAUAUACACAGCACACAUAUACUGCAAUAUCAAGACAAACAAAAAACAGGCAAAUUGAUGUGGGCUAUAGUGUACUGUAAAUAAAUCUGCAGCUUACAGAAAACACUAUAGCAACUCUUUACUGGUCGCU